UACGUAGGUGGCAAACGUUGUCCGGAUUUACUGGGUGUAAAGGGCGUGUAGCCGGGCUGACAAGUCAGAUGUGAAAUUCCGGGGCUCAACCCCGGACCUGCAUUUGAAACUGUUGGUCUUGAGUAUCGGAGAGGCAGGCGGAAUUCCUAGUGUAGCGGUGAAAUGCGUAGAUAUUAGGAGGAACACCAGUGGCGAAGGCGGCCUGCUGGACGACAACUGACGGUGAGGCGCGAAAGCGUGGGGAGCAAACAGG
rnacentral:rRNA from 1 species